rnacentral:rRNA from 1 species
UACGUAGGUGGCAAGCGUUGUCCGGAAUUAUUGGGCGUAAAGCGCGCGCAGGCGGUUUCUUAAGUCUGAUGUGAAAGCCCACGGCUCAACCGUGGAGGGACAUUGGAAACUGGGGAACUUGAGUGCAGAAGAGAAAAGCGGAAUUCCACGUGUAGCGGUGAAAUGCGUAGAGAUGUGGAGGAACACCAGUGGCGAAGGCGGCUUUUUGGUCUGUAACUGACGCUGAGGCGCGAAAGCGUGGGGAGCAAACAGG